rnacentral:misc_RNA from 1 species
AAAUGUCGUAACAAGGGUUUUCCGUAGGUGAACCUGCGGAAGGAUCAUUAAAAAUGUGAUUGGGUUAUACAUUUUCAUGUAUCAACUGCAUUAAACCCCAUUCCGAGUACCUUGCCUGUUGCUUCCAUGGGGGCCUGACCUAGGUCACUCUUGUGAUGUGAAAUCCCAAGAGAGUCCCCCAUGGGAAGGUAAUCAUUAAAUUCAUGUAUCCAAUGUCUUCUGUCUGAACUGUUUACAACAAAUUGUUAAAAG